AGGUCGGCAACAGAGCAGCCAAGGCCCUCGCAGAGG
rnacentral:SRP_RNA from 1 species